AUGAUGUUAAUACACAAAAACAAGUCAUUAAAUGUAUCAUUUGUUACAUUGUUACACUUUGAAAGGUUCAAGGGUGUAUUUGACAUAAAUAAUAAUGCUUCUUGCCUUCAUAUGACAUUUCUUUUCAGAGAUUGGGUGCAGGAUGGAGCUGCAGGGGUUUCAAGUUCAACAUAUAUAUAUAUACUGUAUGUAUAUGCAAAAUAUAUAUACACACAAAGGCUUCCAGCAGGCCGAACAAGUCUAAACAGAAUCCAGUUUAAAUUGUUUUUCUGUCUUAUCAGGUAUCCUUGGAGUCAUCAAAAUCAGUGUUCCUUGCACCAGCGGAGGUUGAGGAUGGCCCACCAGGGAUGCGGAGAGAACAUCAGGCUGUCUCCGCCCUUUUAAGUGAGGACGUCUCCAGACUAAGGUGCUGAAAGGUUUGAACAUGUCCUGUGACAGACCGCAAUGAACCAACUGCUGCUGGACCACACAAACACAGACACACAUCUAUCACACCUUACAAAACUAUGUUAUGUCUUUAAAAAGAGUUAAUUAGGUGUUUGAAACAAACUGUGUUGUUUGCGGUUCAAAAACAAACACGUGGAAGCUUGUUUGUGUGAUGUUUAUCACUUUCUUUAUGGUGUGGAUAUCCUAAACAAGCAGUGGAUUAAGGCAUAUUUACAGAUACAGUCUUUAAGUUAUGCUUAAAGCUCAAUGCUUCAAACUCUUAUAUUCAAAUCUUGCUUUUAGUCUAACAGUGAUUACACAUUUUUCUGGUUCUGUAUAUCUGCUACAAAAGGCCAGGAGUAGCUAUGCCCCCCAAAUAAAUGAAAUAUAAGCUUGUUCAAA